ACGAUAUUCCGCUGCUUGAUUAAGCAAGAAUGUCUG
rfam:Bacillus lehensis G1, complete genome.